rnacentral:rRNA from 1 species
ACGCUGGCGGCAGGCCUAACACAUGCAAGUCGAGCGGUAGAGAGAAGCUUGCUUCUCUUGAGAGCGGCGGACGGGUGAGUAAUGCCUAGGAAUCUGCCUGGUAGUGGGGGAUAACGUUCGGAAACGGACGCUAAUACCGCAUACGUCCUACGGGAGAAAGCAGGGGACCUUCGGGCCUUGCGCUAUCGGAUGAGCCUAGGUCGGAUUAGCUAGUUGGUGGGGUAAUGGCUCACCAAGGCGACGAUCCGUAACUGGUCUGAGAGGAUGAUCAGUCACACUGGAACUGAGACACGGUCCAGACUCCUACGGGAGGCAGCAGUGGGGAAUAUUGGACAAUGGGCGAAAGCCUGAUCCAGCCAUGCCGCGUGUGUGAAGAAGGUCUUCGGAUUGUAAAGCACUUUAAGUUGGGAGGAAGGGCAUUAACUAAUACUUAGUGUUUUGACGUUACCGACAGAAUAAGCACCGGCUAACUCUGUGCCAGCAGCCGCGGUAAUACAGAGGGUGCAAGCGUUAAUCGGAAUUACUGGGCGUAAAGCGCGCGUAGGUGGUUUGUUAAGUUGGAUGUGAAAUCCCCGGGCUCAACCUGGGAACUGCAUUCAAAACUGACUGACUAGAGUAUGGUAGAGGGUGGUGGAAUUUCCUGUGUAGCGGUGAAAUGCGUAGAUAUAGGAAGGAACACCAGUGGCGAAGGCGACCACCUGGACUAAUACUGACACUGAGGUGCGAAAGCGUGGGGAGCAAAC